GCUGGGCAUGGUGGUGCGUGCCUGUAGUCCCAGCUGCUUGGGAGGCUGAGGUGGGAGAAUCACUUGAGCCCAGGAGGUCAAGGCUGCAGUGAGCUGUAAUUAUGCCACUGCACUCCAGCCUGGGUGACAAAGUGAAACCCUAUCUCAA
ensembl:misc_RNA Metazoa_SRP Metazoan signal recognition particle RNA